AACGAACGCUGGCGGCAUGCCUAACACAUGCAAGUCGAACGAGACCUUCGGGUCUAGUGGCGCACGGGUGCGUAACGCGUGGGAACCUGCCCUUAGGUUCGGAAUAACUCCCCGAAAGGGGUGCUAAUACCGGAUAAUGUCUUCGGACCAAAGAUUUAUCGCCUUUGGUUGGGCCCGCGUUGGAUUAGCUAGUUGGUAGGGUAAAAGCCUACCAAGGCGACGAUCCAUAGCUGGUCUGAGAGGAUGAUCAGCCACACUGGGACUGAGACACGGCCCAGACUCCUACGGGAGGCAGCAGUGGGGAAUAGUGGACAAUGGGCGAAAGCCUGAUCCAGCAAUGCCGCGUGAGUGAUGAAGGCCUUAGGGUUGUAAAGCUCUUUUACCCGGGAUGAUAAUGACAGUACCGGGAGAAUAAGCGCCGGCUAACUCCGUG
rnacentral:rRNA from 1 species